rnacentral:rRNA from 1 species
UACGAAGGGAGCAAGCGUUUGUUCGGAAUUACUGGGCGUAAAGGGCGUGUAGGCGGUUUAGUAAGUCAGAUGUGAAAGCCCCGGGCUCAACCCGGGAAGUGCUUCUGAGUACUGCUUGGCUUGAGUAUUGGAGAGGUGAGUGGAAUUCCUGGUGUAGCGGUGAAAUGCGUAGAUAUCAGGAGGAACACCUGUGGCGAAAGCGGCUCACUGGACCACAACUGACGCUGAGGCGCGAAAGCUAGGGGAGCAA